AAUCAACGCUGGCGGCGUGCCUCAGACAUGCAAGUCGAACGAUUAAAGCUCCCUUCGGGGAGUGCAUAAAGUGGCGCACGGGUGAGUAACACGUAAGUAAUCUACCCUCGAGUGGGGAAUAACGUCCGAAAACGGACGCUAAUACCGCAUAAUGCAGCGGCACCGCAAGGUGACAGUUGUUAAAGAUUUAUCGCUUGAGGAGGAGCUUGCGGCAGAUUAGCUAGUUGGUAAGGUAAUGGCCUACCAAGGCCGCGAUCUGUAACCGGUCUAAGAGGACGGUCGGUCACACUGACACUGAAUAACGGGUCAGACUCCUACGGGAGGCAGCAGUCGGGAAUUUUGGGCAAUGGGCGAAAGCCUGACCCAGCAACGCCGCGUGAAGGAUGAAGUAUUUCGGUAUGUAAACUUCGAAAGAAUGGGAAGAAUAAAUGACGGUACCAUUUAUAAGCUCCGGCUAACUACGUGCCAGCAGCCGCCGUAAGAC
rnacentral:rRNA from 1 species